rnacentral:lncRNA from 1 species
UUUUCUUGAAAUGAAGGGGAUGCUGGCCUUUCUGAUAGUUUCAGUUUCAUCAGCCUGGUUUGUCAUCAUCAUAUUUGCCUAUUUGUGGCUGAGGAAGAGAAAGAAAAGAGGCAAGUAAAUUUUUUUACCUUCCCAUGUAUAUGAUUCUUGAUAAUCAUUUCAAUUUGUGUUGUUCAAAAACAGUAAAGAACAAAUCCAACAGGAGAUUGUUUGAUUCUAUAAAUGGUCCACACUACCACAAAGAUAAUUUUGAAGCGGAUGACAUCCAGACAAGCAGGAGUCAUACAGACUUGGCAUUUUUCAACCUUAGCACCAUAUCUGCUGCCACUGAUAAUUUUUCUCAAGCUAACAAGAUUGGACAAGGUGGCUUUGGUUCUGUUUAUAAGGUAGAAUUUAACUCUCUAUCCAAUAUCUAAAAAUUGAAAUUCUUCUCAUUUUGAUUUGUUCUCGUUCACAUGGUGUUCUGUGUGAAAACAAAUUCAGACAUAGGUGUAAUCUCGCAAACAUGUUUUUGCAGGGUCAGCUAACUAAUGGAAAGGAGGUUGCUGUAAAAAGGCUAUCAAAAAAUUCGGGGCAAGGAGCAGAAGAAUUUAAAAAUGAAGCUAUGUUGAUGGCCAAGCUUCAACAUAGGAAUCUUGUGAAACUUUUAGGAUGUUGCGUUCAGGAAGAAGAGCGAAUUUUGAUUUAUGAAUACUUGUCAAAUGGAAGUUUGGACUUGUUUCUCUUUGGUGAGUUUUCUAAUUUUUCUAUUCUCUUGUUGGUUUCCUAAUUGUAUCUCCUUUACGAGGAUACAAUUAAGAUAUACAAAUUAUAUAUAUUAUUUAACACUAACUCGAUAAAAAUUAUUAAACUUUUAAAGAUACAACAAGAAGUUCAUUCCUGAAUUGGAGUAAACGUUACAAAUCAUAGUUGGAAUUGCACGUGGAAUUUUAUAUCUUCACCAGGACUCAAGGUGGCGAAUCAUCCACAGAGACUUAAAAAGUAGCAACAUCCUCUUAGAUGCAGAGCUGAAUCCAAAAAUUUCAGAUUUUUGAAUGGCUAGAAUACUCGAAGAUGACCAGAUACAACACAAGACACAUAGAGUUGUAGGGACAUAGUAAGUAUUCAAGUAAAGAUUGCCCUUAUCACUCAACAUCAAACAGAUUGCUAUAAAAAACCAAUUCUCUCCUUAACAUGUGCAUUCUUUUAUUUUGCAGUGGCUACAUGUCGCCAGAGUAUGCCGUGUUAGGAAAAUUUUCAGUAAAGUCCGAUGUAUUCAGCUUUGGUGUAAUAUUGUUGGAGAUUAUAAGUGGGAAGAAAAGCAAUGGCUUCCAUCAAGAGGAUCCUUCCCUAACCUUGAUAGGACAUGUAAGUGAUAGAAACUCUUGAUUUGUUAUCUUCUCAACUAAAUAAUUUUACUGAAAGUUUAUUUCAUGCAUGGUGAUGCUAUGAACAAAGGUGUGGGAGCUAUGGCAAGAAGACAAAGCAAUGGAGAUAGUUGACUCAACAUUAAAGGAAUCAUACAAUUCCCAUGAAGUGUUGAAAUGUAUUCACAUUGCACUCUUGUGUGUGCAAGAAGAUGCAGUGGACAGACCAACUAUAUCAGCAAUCAUUGUCAUGUUAGAUAGUGAAAUCUCUCUUCCUUGUCCAAAACAACCAGCUUUCAUUUUCAGAACUUCUUGCAACAGUUCACCAAUAUGGGAAGGACCAAGUUCUGUGAAUGAAAUGUCAAUCACUGAAACUGUAGCUCGCUAAUUGAAGCAUACUUCCUCUCAUAGACUAAACUAACUAGAAUUAAGGGACUAAAUCAUUCGAUUUUUUAAAUUAAGGGACCAUUUUGCUAUUGGUAGUAGACAAAAACCCAUCAAUAAUAUACAAAUUUCACAGGUACAGACAUUUGCUCACUGAUACAUUCAUCUCAUCAUGAAUAAAAAACGAAGAGCAACUAAAAUAAGACAAAACCCAUUAAAAACUCACAAUCGGUGUCAUGUUUUCUAAUUAAUGAGAUGCUUUUCAGCUGAAUAGAGAUCCAAAAGCACUAAAACUAACUUCAAAAUUAGGAACCCAUGGAAAAGUAAAAAGCAGAAAAUUACCUGUAAAGCGAUUGGCUCAUAUGUGAUAUCCAGAGGCUCCAUCAGCCACCGAGGAAGUGUUUUAUAGUGGAGUGGUGGCCAUGGAAAGUCAUCUGUGGAGGGUUUUUUUUGCACAAAGUCAUCUGGAGAAUGCGAGAUUGUAGAUGACACAGAGAAUUGCACAAUGCUCAGAGCAAAUUUUUUGGAGGUAUUGUACUUAAGGGUUUUUU